CACACGCCAGGCUACUGUCCACCACUUAGAUAUGGACCCAUGAAUCAGAUUGCACCAUAUCGAAGUCUUUUCCACAGGGUUUCUGGAAAAGAAACUGAGACGACCCUUUCCAGGUGGUUGAAAUAUGAGGCUUUUAUCUUCAGAACAUGAUGUCUGGAGUUAAAGGUAUUGGCAUAUUCCACACAUCUGUACUAUUCUUGAGUGUGAUCGCUUAGGAAUGAAUAUAAUUUGAACUCAUUCAUGUUAAGAGAGGGUGUCAAAUUGAGAACCAGGAAGAUCCACCACCUACAGUAAAAAUGACUCUAAAGUAAAUUGGCUGAAGAACAUAGAUCCCAAAGAUUCUUGAUGAAUUUUGAAGUCUUCAUCAGUAUUUAUAUAUUAACACGAGAUGAAAGAAGCCGAAAUAAAAGAACUAUGGACUGACAGGACAACUGGAUUAAAAUAAGCUUCAGUUUCAUUAAAAAGGGCUAACUUGAAGAUAAAUCUUUUGACUCCAGCUCUUUAGAGGAUCUAAAGUGACUUUGAUGGACAGUGGAAGAAAUCACAACAUGG
rnacentral:lncRNA from 1 species